AAACCGUUCAGGGGUAAACCUGAGAAACCCGAAAGAUCGAUUGGGGAGAUUCAUCGUCAGCGAGGUCGGAUCCGGGUUGGCUCGCGAUGCCGGGGACCGAAAGGCCCCUCGGCACACGUCCAUCCCGGAACGUCCGGCCGCGUCGGCGCGCACUUCUCCCCUGGUAGGACGUCGCGACCCGUCGGGUGUCGGUCUACGGUCCAGGCGGUCGCCUGUCCCGUCGCCUCGGCGCACGGGGCAGACCCCCGAUGUUACUAGGCCGGCUGCCCGCUGGUACUCCCACGGUAUUGGGCCGCAAGUUGAACUGCGUCGGGCCCGCCGCAAGCGCGGUCAGUGAGUUCCCGGAGUGCGGACCUAGCGCCGUCCCCGGGCCUGGCCAGCUGUUAGCAGGCGUUGUCCUCCGACUGGCCCCGAGCGCGCCCGGCAACAGACGGCGCGCGUGCACAGUAUACCGGUCGGCGACGCUACUGUUUUGGGUACUUUCAGGA
rnacentral:rRNA from 1 species